rnacentral:rRNA from 1 species
CCCCUAGAUGUUCUGGGCCGCACGCGCGCUACACUGAACAGUUCAACAAGUCUUAACCUUGGCCGAUAGGUCUGGGUAAUCUUUGAACGCUGUUCGUGAUUGGGAUAGACCUUUGCAAUUAUGGGUCUUCAACGAGGAAUUCCUAGUAAACGCAAGUCAUCAGCUUGCAUUGAUUACGUCCCUGCCCUUUGUACACACCGCCCGUCGCACCUACCGAUUGAAUGAUCCGGUGAGGCCCCCGGAAUGGGAUCACUGCCUGGUUCUCCAGAAUGAGAUCCCGUGAAGCUGUCCAAACCUUAUCAUUUAGAGGAAGGAGAAGUCGUAACA